GUAGGUGGCAAGCGUUGUCCGGAAUUAUUGGGCGUAAAGCGCGCGCAGGCGGUUCUUUAGGUCUGAUGUGAAAGCCCACGGCUCAACCGUGGAGGGUCAUUGGAAACUGGAGAACUUGAGUACAGAGGAGGAAAGCGGAAUUCCACGUGUAGCGGUGAAAUGCGUAGAGAUGUGGAGGAACACCAGUGGCGAAGGCGGCUUUCUGGUCUGUAACUGACGCUGAGGCGCGAAAGCGUGGGGAGCAAGCAGGAUUAGAUACCCUGGUAGUCCACGCCGUAAACGAUGAGUGCUAAGUGUUAGGGGGGUUUUCCGCCCCCCUUAGUGCUGCAGCUAACGCAUUAAGCACUCCGCCUGGGAGUACGGCCGCAAGGCUG
rnacentral:rRNA from 1 species